CUUCGUUUUUUGAUUGCAUAGUAUAUGUAAUCAAAGUUCAGUUGCCAAGUUGUCGUUAUCGCUAGCCUAUUCUUGUCAAUCUUCAAUAUAGAGGGUGCUGACUUCAAUAAUUUCAAUCGUUUCUUUUCGAAUUUUCUAACGUAGUCACUAAAAGAGCAUUUUAUGCUUUUUAUGUGGGCUGCUGCUUGUUCCAAUGCCAAUGGCAAACCCCCUAGCUCGUCUACUAGUGAAAUUAUGAUACCGUCUUCAUUGUCGCAACUUAUUCCUGUUCUUCGCGUAAGAAAAUCUAAUGCUCUUUCUCUCUGCAAAAACAUUUAGACAAAUGCAAUCUUCUAUCUUUACAAGCAU
rnacentral:lncRNA from 1 species